GCCCCCUUAGCUCAGGGGUAGAGCGCGUCACUUGUACUUCGUACAUGACGAGGCCAGUCGUUCAAAUCGGCUAGGGGGCA